GUUAAUAUGCAAGUAUGGAUCAAUGCAAAAGGUAAUGUGCAAAUGGGGUCUUUUUGAAUUGUCUAUGCACCUUAAAUUGCAGAGAAAAAAAAGACUAGACAUUAAUGGAAAUGAAGAUGUGACCUUAACAAGGGCAGAAAGAUCAACAACAUGCUUGGUUUGGACAACAACACAAGCUUGUGAAAAAUUAAGGUUAUGUGCAUAGGUUCCAUAUGGUUGUUGUUGUCAUAGGUUUUAGAGACAGUGUGGCAUUUGAAGAUCACAUCUUGUUUUGGUUUCUUGGACAGUUUUGAUCAAAUCAUGUAUGAUUUGGUUUGUAGCUGUAGGUAUAAAUUAGGAUGCUAGUAGUAGUAGUAGUUUUCUUUGGUUGUAGUUGGAAUUAUUGUCACUUAUGUGAUUGAAUUUUAGUAAGUAAUUAAUGUUCUUCGUAAAUGUUAUAAAUUGUAA
rnacentral:lncRNA from 1 species